rnacentral:lncRNA from 1 species
CUGUCUCGUCUCGGAGCAAGGGCCACGCCGCGGCUCACAGGUGGCAGGGCGACCGGGAAGCUAGCACUGGCCUCCGGAGCCGGAUCACGCGGGACGCAGGAGCUCGGCAAAGGCUCUCAAAAGCAGUAUGGCCCUCCCUGGUGUUAGGCUACUGAGCCCAAAAGCGGCUGUGCGGAGAGAACGAAUAAACUCUUCAUUAGGACCGCGCAUUGCUUUAUGGCACACGCCGGACACUGAGCUAGCCUCUCAGCUGCAAGUGCUUUCUCUCUGCAUGGCCUCCUCUACUAACUUCUUUAACGCUGCCUUCCAACGACACAGGAGCGUUUAAUCUUUAUGACUCCAAAUCUAUCGAUUAUCCCUUUAAUGGAUUUUGUGGGUUAAAAAGACCUUCUCAAUGCUACAAUUUAAAAAGCCUCUCAGUACAUUUUCUUUUAACACUUCUGUAGCUUUUAAUGUUUAAAUAUUUAAUGUAUUUUAAAACUUUUUGAGUUGUGAACAGUAAUUUUAUUUUCUCUCCAGUGGAUAACCAAUUGUCCCAGCAAAUUCACUGAGUAAUCCAUAUUUUCUUAACCUGAACAUGCCACCCAAGUGACAGCAUCUGCCCACAAAUGACGGAUCACCUGCAGCAUCAAGUGUUUCUCCAGGUUCACCACAGCCCUCUGCUCGGAUCUCCCUUAAACUCUUGAUGGAGCCAUCCUGUGAAUUUAUUCUUGUAGGGUAACUGUAUUAUCUCCUAAUGAACGCCCUCUUUCCACCUUCACUGUGGCUCCACAUAGGAAAGGAUUCUGCUGGGAAUCACACGGCCUGCACACAGACACACACACACGUACGUACACACACCCGUCGCAGCUCCUCGGCACACCAAAUGCAAAGAUGUGCAGUCGAUUUACUUCCAUCUGUUCCUACUUGAGUCGUUUAUAGUGCGUUACUCUGUGAUUACAGAUUUAAUUGCAGACCCAGGAGCAUCACAUUAUCAACAACAGAAACCCUCUGCACACCCCCUUCUCCACCAUCAACCCUGCACCAGGCUCCUCCUGCCGAAGGUGUGACCCUCCUCACUCCUUCAUUUCUCUUGGGAUCCUGAGAAACCGGGGCCAGAGAUGUCACCUGCAUAUCCCAGCAGGCAGAGGCCCAGGGGCCCCCAACAACACACACGCAGGAGCAAGUGCGCGCGUGCGUCCACUCAGCCCUGUUUCCCUGGAGAAGAGUGACUGGUAUGGAUUUCAGUGACUCUCUGGAGGCACCACCACCCACGACUCUUCAGGACCCUCACAUCAACUACACCUAGGCUGGUGGCCAGAAAUGGAAAAGCCAACCCAAACUUGCUCAAUCUUAAGUGAUUUAAGGGUUCAUGUGACUGUGAGGCCCAGCAUCCCCAGUCUGUUUAUUUCCACCUCUUCCCCUGGACACGGGUUGCAUCCAAAAGCUGAUCACACCUCACAGUGGGAGGACGUUCUGGUUGGAUCCCAGAGAUGUCUUGUUCUCAUCAAGAAACAACAAGAGUGAAACCACAUUUCCAGAGCUGUGGUGGAGGAGGGAAGAGACCUCUCAGAGCCAGAGUCCCGUGGGGCUCAAAGGUUUGGACCAGGUGGUAUCCCCCACCUCGGAGGAUACAGCCUGCUUGCUCCGGGACCGAGGCCCCACAGAGGUAGAGGAGGCAGCUGUGGAAAAUCUAGCAGAAAUCAGGGACGUUACCAGUCACCUUGCAUUACCAAGGAAGUAAGGGAACAUCUGGGAGGUGACCACAUUAUAGGGCCUCUACUUGGAAUCUCCAAAAACUCUUAUGUGUCCCACAGAUGUUACAGCCAGAGACCCAUCUGAGUUACCCUGACACCAGUACUGACAAGAGCAGCUCGUCUUUCACAGUCAAACACAUGUCCCUUAGUCACAUAACUGCAUCACCCAAGACGGAGCCUGGCACCUGUCAGCACAGUGGGAAGCCAACACACAAUAUGAGGAAAUCGAUUCACAAAUCACUGGAAACUACUUUUCUUCCUCCUCUGUCCUCAGUUUUAAAAACCAUUAAUAAACAAAUUGAAUAAGAAAACUCAGUUAUGUUUCCUUAUAGUUGAUUAUCCUGUUGAAAAUAGCAAUACAAUUUAGUAAACAAAGUUUAAGAAGAUAUGCUCCAGUGUGUGUCACAAAUAAGGGUUACAGAGAAACAGUUUACCAUGCAGUGAAGUUCAUUUAUAGAAUGUGCUUCAAAAACAAUAGGUGGCAAAGAGCUAUAUGCAAAAUCCAAUUAUCAGAGUAUUAGACAUUUACAACUUUGCAUCACAAUUGUUUUGUAAUCAUCAUAUUGCCAUUACCACGAUGUAUAAUGCUGUGUACCAAAUUAUUCUGUAUUUUGCUUAAUAUUUUAAUUAAU